rnacentral:rRNA from 1 species
ACGGCGAGUGAAGCGGCAACAGCUCAAAUUUGAAAUCUGGUCACCUUACGGAGGCCCGAGUUGUAAUUUGAAGAGGAUGCUUUUGGCGAGGUGCCUUCCGAGUGCCCUGGAACGGGACGCCACAGAGGGUGAGAGCCCCGUAUGGUUGGACACCGAGCCUAUGUAAAGCUCCUUCGACGAGUCGAGUAGUUUGGGAAUGCUGCUCAAAAUGGGAGGUAAACCCCUUCUAAAGCUAAAUAUUGGCCAGAGACCGAUAGCGCACAAGUAGAGUGAUCGAAAGAUGAAAAGCACUUUGAAAAGAGAGUUAAACAGCACGUGAAAUUGUUGAAAGGGAAGCGCUUGCGACCAGACUUGCGCCCGUCGGAUCAACCGUCGCUUGUCGGCGGCGCACUCCGGCGGGCUCAGGCCAGCAUCAGUUUUCCCGGGGGGAGAAAGGCGGUGGGAAUGUAGCUCCUAGGAGUGUUAUAGCCCGCCGCGUAAUACCCUCGGGGGGACUGAGGACCGCGCAU